GAUGAACGCUGGCGGCGUGCCUAAUACAUGCAAGUCGAGCGAACAGACGAGGAGCUUGCUCCUCUGACGUUAGCGGCGGACGGGUGAGUAACACGUGGAUAACCUACCUAUAAGACUGGGAUAACUUCGGGAAACCGGAGCUAAUACCGGAUAAUAUAUUGAACCGCAUGGUUCAAUAGUGAAAGACGGUUUUGCUGUCACUUAUAGAUGGAUCCGCGCCGCAUUAGCUAGUUGGUAAGGUAACGGCUUACCAAGGCAACGAUGCGUAGCCGACCUGAGAGGGUGAUUGGCCAAACUGGAACUGAGACACGGUCCAGACUCCUACGGGAGGCAGCAGUAGGGAAUCUUCCGCAAUGGGCGAAAGCUUGACGGAGCAACGCCGCGUGAGUGAUGAAGGUCUUCGGAUCGUAAAACUCUGUUAUUAGGGAAGAACAAAUGUGUAAGUAACUAUGCACGUCUUGACGGUACCUAAUCAGAAAGCCACGGCUAACUACGUG
rnacentral:rRNA from 1 species